UACGUAGGGGGCAAGCGUUGUCCGGAUUUAUUGGGCGUAAAGAGCGUGUAGGCGGUUAUACAGGUCCGCUGUGAAAACUGGAGGCUUAACCUCCAGACGUCGGUGGAAACCGUAUGACUAGAGUCCGGAAGAGGAGAGUGGAAUUCCUGGUGUAGCGGUGAAAUGCGCAGAUAUCAGGAAGAACACCUAUGGCGAAGGCAGCUCUCUGGGACGGUACUGACGCUGAGACAUGAAAGCGUGGGGAGCGAACAGG
rnacentral:rRNA from 1 species